GCGGCGUGCUUAACACAUGCAAGUCGAACGAAGCACUUUGGAUGGAUCUCUUCGGAAUGAUAUCCUUAGUGACUGAGUGGCGGACGGGUGAGUAACGCGUGGGUAACCUGCCUCAUACAGGGGGAUAACAGUUAGAAAUGGCUGCUAAUACCGCAUAAGCGCACAGUACCACAUGGUACCGUGUGAAAAACUCCGGUGGUAUGAGAUGGACCCGCGUCUGAUUAGCUAGUUGGCAGGGUAACGGCCUACCAAGGCGACGAUCAGUAGCCGACCUGAGAGGGUGAUCGGCCACAUUGGGACUGAGACACGGCCCAAACUCCUACGGGAGGCAGCAGUGGGGAAUAUUGCACAAUGGGGGAAACCCUGAUGCAGCGACGCCGCGUGAAGGAAGACGUAUUUCGGUAUGUAAACUUCUAUCAGCAAGGAAGAUGAUGACGGUACUUGACUAAGAAGCCCCGGCUAACUACGUGCCAGCAGCCGCGGUAAUACGUAGGGGGCAAGCGUUAUCCGGAUUUACUGGGUGUAAAGGGAGCGUAGGCGGCCAUGCAAGUCAGAAGUGAAAGCCCGGGGCUCAACCCCGGGACUGCUUUUGAAACUGUAAGGCUAGAUUGCCGGAGAGGUAAGCGGAAUUCCUAGUGUAGCGGUGAAAUGCGUAGAUAUUAGGAGGAACACCAGUGGCGAAGGCGGCUUACUGGACGGUGAAUGACGCUGAGGCUCGAAA
rnacentral:rRNA from 1 species